rnacentral:lncRNA from 1 species
AACUUGGUCAGAGGUAAGAAUGCAGAUAUUUGAAGGGAGAAGGAUAGAGAAAAGCAAACUAAGGUUGACAUUAUGAGGAGGAAUGAAAAAGAGAACUGCUCUGAGCUUUUGCUGGUGCUUGCAGGUUUUGCUUUGCUGUCUCUCUGCUGCAAGGGAUUUGCUGAAGCGAUGGUCACACUGGCUGCAGAAAGCCCCGUGUGGCCCUAAAAAGCUGUGACUGUCAGGACAUGAAAACGGCCUAUUUUCUGGCCUACUUUCUGGUGAAUGGCCACGUUUGGGAUAUCCCUGCAGGCUACUGCCUCUUGUGGGCUAUCUUGUGGAUUUUUUAAGCUGGAGGUUACAGUGGCCCCCACCCAUGUGACCAGAAUUUUGGUAGAAAUAAGGGAAUUGUUGACCCAUGCCAUGGUAGCCAUAGGAGGGGUACUGGAGAACAUUAUGUUUUCCAAAGCAAAAUAAUCCAGAAAGGCAGUAAGGAUGCCAUCAGAUGUAAGAAAAGACAGAGUCAAAGCAUGACGUGAUCAAAACUCCUCAAGAAACAUUGAGGACCAAAAGAGAGAUAGCAGAGGCAUUCAAGAACAGCAUCAUUUUUUAUGUGUCUUGGGGCAGAUGGCUGAAAUAAGAUUUGUGUUCUGUCUGUUACAGGCAGUUGUCUAAUCCCUCCAUUCCCAGGCUUGAGCUACUGGCAGUUUAGGUCAGUAGUACUUUUCCAGCCUUUCCACCUUUUCUUCAAAGCAUUUUCCAAUCCCUGACUGUGAUGUGAUGCAAGUGUAAAGGUAGGGGGGUAAUUAUUCAGCUGCCUUCUGAUCUGUUUGAUCUCCCUGGUCUAAUCUCCAUUAUCUUCAAAAACAGGCAAUAGGUGCUUUUGAUGAAGCCUGUGAUCGCAAGCCAUGCACAGAAAGCAGAAAAGUAGGGCACCUGGCCAUUUUCAAAGUGAAGCUGCAGUCUGUUCCUUGACGGCGUUCUGAUCAGAAGCAGGCUUUUUCCAUCUACAAAUGGGCUUUCAUCUCUCUUUUUCCCUACCCGUCAUAACAAACAGCUUUUUGGUGAAGUUGUCGUGGCUGUUCAAAAGGCUUCUGCAUUAGAAGUCCUGGGAUGAAGAGGCAGUGUCUGGGGACUGCCUGCCAAAACUGUGUUUGGUGAGGUUUUGCUCCUGCACUGUAGCUUUUAAAAUGCUCGUGGGGUAAACCAUUUUGAUCAAUUAUUAUGGUAAUGACAGAAGAGCGUGGAAUUAUGAGCAUAAUUAUAAUUACCAUUUUUAUGCACAGUUAAUUAAUCAUAAAACACUACGUUAUAGAAUUUUUCUGUCUAAUGAAAUUCGUCGUAGAGGCCCCUGAAUCCCUAAAUUUAAUGUUAAGCAAAUUAAACCUGUGUCCGAGGUUAGGGCUAUUAGUACAGAUGUGGCCUUGGAUUAGUUGCUCAAACGGGACUCAGCGAGCCAUUAGCCAAGCUGGGGGGAGUGGAGCCAUCCUUCCUGAGCACAGACACCUGCUCCCAAGAGUUUGGAGGAUGGCAGGAAGGUUGGUUUCCUCAAGAAUCAGGGCUGAGCUUUCUAGAGGGAAACCUUCCUUCAUCUUACUGGGGAUAACUUCUUUUCCAUGGUCUGGAUUUUGGCUCUCCCAUCAGAAUGGAAUGCAGUAGAGUAAGGGGGUCAUGGUUUGCUUGCCUCACAACAACGCUUUUACAACUAGACACUAUAUGUCAGAGAUUUGGGAGGCCCCAUCCAGAGCAUGCAAAGGGUAUGAAAAAGCUCAGUGUUUUGAGUUACGCAUUUUUGAAAGAGGAAAGGUUAAGUUUUAUGAUGGGAGGGCCAAGUAGGAAUAGAUGGCAAGCAGCAGCGCUGUGAUUGCUCCACGGUCAUGUUCCCUGCAAAGUGCUGUGCACUGUAACAAAGCAAAUGGGCAUCCUCUGCCUUUGUAACCUUGUUCUCUUUAGGUAGAUGGUGGUAGGAGACUUCCCUGUGUUCUCCUGUGUGGCUCUGAGUCUGAAAGGAAAGUUAAUGUUUUAGGGUACUAAUGCAGUAUUGCACUUCUGCCUGUUUGCUGGCAGGGAAUCGGCGUUCAAGUGUCUAUUGCAUGUGUGCCCAGUGAGCUAAACAGCAAAAGGGCCACAAGGCAGUGACUUUCUGAUCAGGAAACUUAAUUCCUGAUAAACCAGGAGGAAGAACAAGUGUCACCUUCCCUUGCCCUUAGGUGCAGGUGAUACUGUACCUGAACCUGGGCUAGUUUCUAGGUGCCUUUUAUUACUGUAGACCCAGUUCACUUGGCACGUCCUCCACCUCCAUCACAGGGCAGAGUUUCCAUGGGCCCAUUUCUUGCUGCCGUCAGGAAGGUCUUGGAAGAAGGCAUCGGCAUCUGUAUGAUUUUUUGGCUUUCUGGUUUCUAUGCUUUCUGCAGGGGUGCUGGCUGGCACCCAUCUUCCUGGAUUCAUUUGGUUGGUCUCAUCCUUAUGUACCACAAAAAGCUCUGCAAUUAAGUUAUGCUAAUGGCACAAUGGCAAACAGGACAGAAGAACGGCAGGUCUCCACAGAAGUCGUCAUGAAGCCAUCAGUGAGGAGGUGAGGAGGAUAUUUCAGGCACCAUCCUCCUGCAUCCAAACGAGGACACAGUUACCCACUGCAGGAGGUGAGGAUGGAUGCAUUGACGAAGAACCGUGUUACUACACUCCUCGCUCGCUUUCAGGAAGGAAAUCUUCCAUGCCAGGAGCAGAAAGGAGGGGUGACACAAAGAUGGAGUGUGACUUCCUGCGUUCCAGAGAGCACGCCGGGUGCUGGGGCUGAGGCUGGCUUCGUGUCACAGGGGUAUGCUCCAUAACUCACAACACAAAUGUUCGUGGAGGAAGUGUCUCAGAGAGUGUUUCUGUCCCCUUGUUCUUCGUUGAGCAGAUAUUUCAUCUGCUCUCAGGAGGGAAGCAGAGCCCAAUGGAGAGCCUAACAGAACGCAGCAUGGAUAAUCCUGAGCUGUGCCCCGAGUCCUUGCUUGUUGGAGCGCAGACUGAGUUUGUGACUGCUCAGUUUAUUUCACUCUGUGCUGCUGUCUCGUUCUGAGGUAGAUCCAAAAUGUCACCGAUCCAAAUGAUGGAACGUCUCAUGGCAAUGGCUUCUUCUGGAGGGCAUUUGGCAGCUCUAUCACAGCCAUGGGAGGGCUGAUGUGCAGCUGCCACGUUGCUCAGAAGUCACACUGGAGGACUUGAAGGUGUGCAUGCAUGUGACUUCAAUUCCUUUGAUUUCAGCUCCGUGGUUGUGAAAUAACUUUCAGUGGGGAUUUCACGUCAGCUAAGUUUAGCUCUUGGCUGUUGAGAGGAAGAGGGACAACGCUGAUGGCUCUGCAAAUGAGCUCUGGGUUGAGUAGGGAAGGAAAAUGGACCUGGCACCUGAACUGACCUCCCCCAGCGCAGUCCUCAGGUCCUCACCUGAGAUGCUGAAAUCUGUAUUGAUAUUGUCAUCUAUAUCUCAACAUAUGUAACUUUUCCAUGCUUGCAGAGAAACAAAUGGAGUUUUUUUUCGUCAUCUGCAUUCCAGCAAUCAUCGGAGAGCCCCUGGCUCCCAGAAGCUCUCCCUGGUAUUUGGAGCAAUUAAAUGCACAGAAUGCCCAUAGCUUUGUAACAGAGGGGAAUCAUUAUGGGGAAUCAUUAUUGCAUUGGUGUGAUUUUGCUAGUGCUGCAACCCAUUCUUUGCAGCCUAAAGCACGGGGCACAGGCAGCCCAAUGGGAAAGGUAGGGAAACAGUGGAAGGAAAGCAUGUGCAGGAGCUUUCUGCAUUUGGGAUGUAUCACACGUAGUGGUGGAGCUGUGCUAAUCAAGAUCUGGAGAAUCUGGUUCCCCAUCUGAAGUGAGCAUCCCUUUUGUAUUAGUCCCUGAAGUUAUUUUAACUCGCGUUGACACAAAUUAAACAGGAAUCUUGCUGUCCAUUGAUUUUGUCAGCGGUGUGUUUUUUUUUCCCCCCUCCUGAAGUCAUCAUUAAAGACUUUGCUUUUAU